CCCAUAUUGUUAUUUUUUCUUUUUCUUUUCCCCUCACCUGCCUCGACCAUUCCCUCAGUGUGAAUUUUUAUUUUAUUUGUAUUUGGAAAUAGUAAAGGUAAAGGUCUUCCCCUGACAUGAAGUGUAGACGUGUCCAACUCUAGGGGUUGGUGCUCAUCUCCAUUUCUAAGCCAAAGAGCCAGCGUUGUCUGUAGACAUCCCCAGGGUCAUUUGGCCGGCAUGACUGCGUGGAGCGCUAUUAUCUUCCUGCCGGAGCGGUACCUAUUGAUCUACUCACAUUUGCAUGUUUUCGAAGUGCUAGGUUGGCACAAGCUGGAGCCAAUAGUGGGAGUUCACCCUGGAUUCGAACUGCCAACCUUUCAAUCAGCAAAUUCAGCAGCUCAGUGGUUUAACCCACUGCACCAUCAGGGGCUCCUUUAUUUGGAAAUACUUAAAAUUAUUUGGAACACAAAAAGAAAGAUCUGGGAAGCACUGGGGUAGUAGUAACUUAUGGAAUAUCUCUACUGAAGAUACAGUCUAAAGUCCUUUCAUAGAAUCAUAGAAUAGUAGAGUUGAAAGAGACCUCAUGGGCCAUCCAGUCCAACCCCCUGCCAAGACGCAGGAAAUCACCUUCAAAGCACCCCCGACAGAUGGCCAUCCAGCCUCUGUUUAAAAGCCUCCAAAGAAGGAGCCUCCACCACAGUCCAGGGCAGAGAGUUCCACUGCAGAACAACCCUCACAGUGAGGAAGUUCUUCCUGAUGUUCAGGUAGAAUCUCCUUUUCUGUAGUUUGAAGCCAUUGUUCCGUGUCCUAGUCUGCAGGGCAGCAGAAAACAAGCUUACUCCCUCCUCCCUAUGACUUCCCCUCACAUAUUUGUACAUGGCUAUCAUGUCUCCUCUCAGCCUUCUAUUCUGCAGGCUAAACAUGCCCAGUUAUUAUAAAGAAUUCAUUGGAAAAAAUUAGCAUCCUCACCAAACAGUUCUUUCUCAGGACUUACUUUGCACACAUCACAGCAAUUAAAUUGACAGAAAAGAGUUGUUAUCUUUGUACCACCAAUAGCCCUAAAUGGAAUUAUUAACACAAGGGACCUUCUGACUGGUAGCAUCAUAUAAUGAAAUGUCUUAACAUUGCUGGGUUGUUCAUAGGAAAUAGCAGACACUACAAUAACUAAAAAUAAAAGGAAGAGAUUCAGAAAUCCUUUACACUGGGGUAACCAGCUCAAAACGGAAAAAACAGAGAUGAUGGUAGGAAAUAAGUACCAGAAACAAUAGCAAAGAGAAUCUAUCUAAUUCAUGUAUGUCUCCUAAACAGUUCUACUUUUAUACUAGAGAAGAGAAUUCAGGGUCGCCCCAAUUAAGCUGGUAUGUAGUAGGUUAAGUCAGACAUAAAGGAAGUAUUUCUACACACAGUGCAUAAUUAACUUCUAAAAUUUACUACUUCAAAGUGCAGAGGGAGGAAAGUAUAAUGCCUGCACAGUUAGAUGGCUUUUUUUUUAAAAAAAAACCUCAAAUGCUUCCAGUUGGAAAUGUCCACUAUUUCAGGCCUCAUUUGGUACCGACAAGUAUUCCUGAUACAAAAUAAGCUUUGUUGGUGACAGAGAGAUACAGCAUAUGUCUAACAGCAGAGGAAAGUGCCUUGAACCUUUUAGCUGAUGAAGACCCCACAAUCCCUCAAAAUAGCUAGUAGAUUAGAUUCCUAAACAAUUAUCUUACUCAGAUUAUCCUUGGACCAGCAACAUCCCUCCAGGAUGAGAGAAAAUUGCAAAGUGAUAUCUAAAUGCUUUAGUAGCCCAUAGCCAGAUAAAGGAAAGUUCACAAUUCGAGCAACAAAAAGGCAUAAUUACCUUGGGGGUUUUUUCUUAAUUUUUUAAAAGUUGGUAUGAGAAUGGCCAGUCUCUUACACUAUUCCUAGCUAUGCCCCCGAUGACUGGAUGUGUGGGAAAGCUAGUGAACACAUACCUUAUCUCCUUGAACUGUUAGGCUAACAAUGUCAAGCAGUUCAAAACAGCCCAUUGGUGCCACAUGACAUUGACAAGGACUCUAUAAACCAUCUGUCCAAUAGCAAAAAUUAGAAACUAUACCCACAACACUUAAGAACCAUAGCUUACAUAGGAUUGCAGCCCCAAAUAAUUCAAGAUGCAUAGACAUGUUAAGACAUUUUAGCCUUGACCCUUCAAUGUAAAUUCAAUGUUCAAAGCAGUGUUAUUUCAGAAUAUCAGGUGCUGAAUUGAGAAGGAAUAUAUUUCAUGGAAAGUGUGAGCAUACUAAAUUAUUUAUAUUUUAGCUAGAGCUUUCAUGGAUAGGAAUUCACUUUUUCACAUACAGUUACUUCUUCAGACAUUCGUCCAGUAAUCAGAUUGAUUGCUUUUACACAUCAACCAGAGCCACCUUCUCAGGAGUCUAUUUCAUUGGUAGUAGCUUGUCCAUGAUAAAUGGGGAAACCCUCCCCAUCUGCCCACAAUAUUUGAGCCAUGUGACUAGAACAUUAGAGAACUGAGAGGUUAAAUGGCUAAUACGUUGGAAUAAUUUUUCUAAUUUACCGUAUGAACCUAACAGAUUAACAACAUAGAAAAACAGAAUUUUUAAGAGCUAUUAUCAAAAUGGAGAAGUGCGUAAGGAGGAAAAACAAAUCAAUAUAUUCAAAAAAUUAGCAACUACAAGAUUUUAGAAUAUAUUCUUUUUCGGAGUCAUGCUAAUGUUGUGUGUAGUCACAGUGUCUAUUUACUUUUUUAUCUUUGAGAAUAAGCCAGAUUAACAGAUGAAUAUGCAUAGUGACAGACGACACUAUACAUGAUUAAAUUUAGGUAUUCAGAACAUUCAAAUAUUCUUGAGAAGUCUUUUCAAGCUUUCCUGGGAAACUUUCCAGGAAGUUGUAUCUCCAGUUCAAUAUAAACACCUCAGCUUGUUUCCAGGACACAGUUGUACCCAAGCUCUAAAAAGCUCAUGUUUCCAAAGUCUUAUGUGUCUGAGAUCCAUCAUUAACCUUGUCAUCAUCAGGACCAUGGAAAGGAUGCUCUUCAGAAAUCCUAUAAAGACUUCAACAACAACCACAUUAGCAUCACUUGUUCUUUUGAUUAAGAUGUAAUCAUCAUAUGUUGGAACCCCACUAGCUGCUUUAUGUAUAUGCUUUCAAAUACCACCAAGUAAACACCAUCCAAUCUAUAUUCUAUUGUUAAACAUCUCAUGGAUACAUGAUUGGACAUGGACUCGUGCUUCAAUAAUUUAUAUCAAGACAUCCUUUAAAAAAAAACCAAAUAACCUCCCAAUGAUGUUAAAAUAAAAGUCCAGACUAAAACAUGGGAAUAGUCAUUGCCUGUGCAUGGGUCCCCACCCCUUUUCCUUUACAUUCAUAUAUAUUAGGCAAAUAGACACAUUACAAGUACAUUUCAGCAUCAUACAAGCCUGUCUACAACAUGUUAUCCUUCUAGCCAAUGGUCAUUUCUUGGGAACCUGACAUUCAAAUCCCGCAAGGUUGAACUUUUGUUCUCUUUCUGCAUGGUUUCUAUCAGUCCUAAUCAAUAAAGGGAUGCUCCUGUGAAAACUGAUUUAAUAAGUGUCCCUGAAAGAUGGUUGUUCCUCUGCCAUAACCCCUGGAAUAAAUUUGAACUGCAGCAUUCAACAUAUCUAACAAUUGGUUCCAAAGGUAGAGUGGUGGUACUUGUAGGCCGGAGCAUACCUAGAGAACACCAUAUUGGAGAAUCCAAUUAUGCACAGUUGAAGAAUGCUUUAAAAUGCUGCUUAUUUCUUGAAAUAUAGAAAUCUUACCAAAAUAAGCCUUUUCCAAGCACAGGGCAUGACCUAUACAUUACUUCAUCAUUUUGAAACCACCAAGCAAGAUGGAAUAAGGAUUACAGAAUAAUUAACUAUGAUUUUAUGCAGAAUGCAUUGCCAUCUGUAUGCUAGAUAUAAGGCUGGGUUUCCUUGUUUGAUGAACAUGUGACUUCUCUAAUGAGAAGAGGGAAGAUUAAUGAAUUGAGAUAUGGCUUUUAAAGGAUUUUAUUGAAAUCCUUUACUAAUUAUUUGAGCAGAUAUCAUAUGCCUUCUGAAUAUGAGGGGUCAGAAAGAAAUAUCACCCAUGGAUGACAAAGAAAUGAAAAUGGAACUACUCUAAUAUUCUAUAUUUCCUCAAAUACCCCAUCUGGUAUGGCCAGUAGCCAUAAUCACACUCACAGAGAGUAUAAUUUACAAACUCUGCAUCAUGUUAACACAUUUAGUUUGCAAUUCUGUUUACAUAUACCUAGAAGCAGGGCAGAGUGGAAUUUACUCUUCAGUAAACAGAGGACUGCAUUCUAUUGCAACUUGACACAAAUUGCAGCUGCAAAUAAAAAAAAAAUAGAAAUCUCUCUGUACUCCAGGAAAUUGUAGUGAUCUGAGAAGUAGACUAUCGUGGCACAGUCUACCUUUCAGAUCUCACCAAAAUCAUCUUAUACAUUUGCUGAACAUGGAACUUCUUUAGUGAUCAGAUAUCAAGAGACUGUUUCAAUACCAUUUUAAAUUUCUCAUUUAUGUGUACUUUACCUGAGUCAUGUUAGGUAGCACCUUUCUACACAUGAAAUGGACAAAGUGAGUAGAAUAAUAUCGAGCUACUUCACAGGGCCCUUGGUAUCAGCACCCCUGCCCUCCCCCAUCACACCACUGCGGAUAUCAGAAUGCAUGGAUGCUCAAAUCCCAUUAUAUACAAUGGUGUAAUGAAAUGGCACCUUAUAUAUAAAAUUGCAAAUUCAAGGAUCAUUUGGGAUGAGUGAAGGGUUUUAAUCCAUGAGUGUAGAAUCUGUGUAUAUAGAAGGUCACAUGUACACAAUUUUUCAUCCAGGGCACUUCCUCUGCAAUAUAGAUGUAAUAGCAAAUUUUAUCAUCCUGAAUUUACAGGGGAAUUCUUAAAUAUACCCAUCUAUACUUUAAAAUUGCAAUUUCACAAAGUUGCUAUUUUAAACAAUACCUGAGCAAAACGUAGCCACUCUUUGCUACUACAGCAUGGAGGGGUACAGUAAAUGCUUUGAUUUCUGAUUUCAUUUGUAAAAAUGUGCAGCGUGUUUACUUGAGAAAGCCAAAACAUUGGUUUUUAAAUGAUCAGGAAGUUUCUUUCCAUAUUAAGGGUCUACUAAUCACUAAUAUGCCUAAAUCCAUUGGCUAAACACACACACACACACACACACACACACACACAGAAAUACUGUGAAAGCAGAAUAAUGGCUUACAAACAUGAUGUGUGGGACAUGGGGUGGUUGCACAGUGCAGAAAUAGAUGCACAUUUUGUUUAAUCUCUUGGCAUCUGCAAGUUUAGGGACUUGUUUCAAACAUGCAACUCAAGAUUUUGGGAAUUAUGGAUUACCAGGGCUGAGGGGUAACUAUUCCUUACUCUCACUGCUGCAGGUAUCAGUGGCUGCUCUGACUCCAUGUUCUAUAGAUAUAGUGAAAUCAAACAAAAUCCAACGUAUAGGGAAACAAAUAUGAUGGUGAAACUUUCACAGCACAGAUCUGCAUCAUUUGUUUUCUUUUUUUAGUUAUUGAGUAAGUAGGUCCAUAAAUUGUAGGCAUUAGGGAUUAGGAAAAAUUGGGAUCCUACCAUCCUACUAUGAUGACUGUCUAUUUUACAACAUCUUCGUUUCACACACUCUGGACUUAGAAAGUUCUGGGGAUAUAUUUAGCCACUUUUGGGACAAAAAUGAACUUUUCUGCAUGGGCAGAUUCAAGUUGUUGAAAGGGGGUUUGUUGGUGGGCUGUAUAAUUGUCAUUCCUUACUUUAACACUUUGCCCCUCCCUAUAGUUUUAAUCUGGGACAUCUCCCCAUUCUUGGUAUUUUCAUCACUAUUUAUAGUGCUGUUGAUACUUGGGAGGAAGAAGACCCAUCCACAUUACCAUCAGCCUACAACUGUUUUCUGAAUGGCAUUAUUUCUGAGUAACAUUAUGGUCAAUAUCUGUACUGUCUGUACUUAAUUUCCCUCUGAUCACACCACCAUAAUCAUAUUUUAGGUAUAUUUGUCUUCCCAACAUAGGCAUUUUGUACAUUUUAUGACAUGGAUUGUAGUCCAUGUAAAUGUAUGUCACAAUUAAUUUAUCAGAAUUUAAUCACACUGUUGUCUUGUUGCAAUCACAUUGUUUAAAUGAAACAAAACGUGCUAUUGAGAAAUGCUAGCACUUUAUUGAUAUGAAUGUCUGCAAUCAGUUUUCCACACAAACCCACUUCCUUGCCAUGUUUUCCCUACCCAAGACAUGCACACAGUGGUUUUUUUUUCUUUCUAUCUGCUGUCUACACAGUUUCAACAUUCUUGUGAGGUCUUCCUCUGCUUCACAAUACUGGGACUGCAGCAGAAGAAAAUUAUCACGCAAAGAGUAGUGGUGGAACAACAGUAAUAUUACAUUCAUUGAUGGGGUUUCUGUCAAUGAAAAGAGAUGAUCCAAUCAUGACUUAAGAGCCAUUUGGCAAUGGGAUAGCCACAAUGCCAUGUUGUAAUCCCCACCAACAGGCACUUUAUUUUGCCACAAGUGCACUCUAGCAGCUUUCUGUAAUGAGUCCCUAAUCUUUCAAGUGAGACAGCAUUCUUUAUUGUUUAAGUUAAAGUAUGCUUAUUGUCAGUUCAGGAAUUAAUAGUUGGAUUAAACAUGCAGCCAAGGCACCAUUUUAAAGAAUCUUGUUCUUGGAAAAUGUAUUCUCACAAAACCAAAUCAAGGCUCAUUCUAUUUAAAAUGAAGACAAAAGUAUUCAGAAACAUCCUACACCAAUGGUCAUGAAGUGAUCAGAUUUUCCUCACCCAAGUUAAAUUAAAUCCAGAGGGACUAUGCUCUGCUGAAAAUAGCCUAUUAUGAAAGUGUUACAUUUGCAUAAAGCAAAGAUAAAACUAAUAGGCUUUCCUCACACUUGAAGUGAUUAAAUUAAGUAAGCCAUUCCUUCUAAACAAGGUAUAGCAUCUUCUAGAAGCUUUUAGUGAGACAGCAUUUUCUCGAAAUUGUCCCAGUUUGGCAGGGGCGGACUUUGUUAAUCCUCUGUCGUCCCACUUUUCAUCUGCUUUCCAAGCAUCUGGGUUCUUCACUCCUUCCGCUUUCCUCCUUCAUCCUCAGUUUUCUUCCGUUCAAACUGAGUUUAAAAUGCAGAGUAGUUUUCACUCAGUUGAUUCAGCAGGUAGAGAGAAGAGAAGGUUGAAUUUUGCUCUUUAUUGUAUACUUAAGCAAACAUUUACUGCUGCAGUCUCUACAAACAAUUGUUUUUUUAUUAUUAAUAACAUUUGCCGUCUUGAGUACACUCUGAUGUUGCUUGGCUACAUCUGUCUCAGUUUUCACCUAUGAAAUAUUGGAGGAUAUGAAGCAGUUCAACAGAAAUACCCCUUGCAUCAUCCAAUAAUGUAUCUUCUCAGUUACUUAAGCCUUUUUUUCAAGAAAAAAAAAACCUGUGGGUCCUACUGCUUUAGCCCACAACUUCAAGAACUGUGCAGCAGUCCUUCAUAUCUGAAAUAUAUCUUUCAGUUCUCAACUGCCUCACCACUUCUUUGAUGCAGUAUACUUAACAUAGAAAGAGUUCUGCCCCAGGAAAGAAAGAAGAAAGGCACAAGGCCUUGAAGAUGCUUCAUCAAGAUGUUAAAAAAGAAACAGAAAGUAAACAAGGAAGCAUGCGAAUUUUAAGAACUGGGGUAGGUUGGCAGCAGGAGGAAGAGGAAGAGGUUCAUUUCCCAAGUAACUAAAAAUGGCAGAUUGAGUGCUGGGAAAACGGAUCCAUUAAGCCCCCUUCUACACUACCAUAUAAUCCAGAUAAUCUGGACUUUAUAUGGCAGCUUAGAAGGGGCCUACGAAAAAGCUGUUUGAUUCCUUACAACAGGUGUGGGUUAACUGUACACCUAUUGCAACCUAUGUACACUUAUUUCCUCAUGGGAAAACAGACCACCAUAAAAGUUAAUAAAAUCCACAUCAUCCAAUAUAUUUCAGGUAGAUAUAACACUGAGGCUGCAUCUACACUGCCCUAUAUCCUAGGAUCUGAUCCCAGAUUAUUUUCUUAUCCCAUAUUAUCUGCCAGCAUCUCUAUAUAUAAAAGAGUGAUGGCAUCAGGGCAGUGGACAAAACAACAAAACCACAGGCCCCCCAACCUCGAAAUUUGACAACACAACCCAUCAUCCACGGCUCUAGGUUGAUACAACAAAAAGAAAAGAAAAAUAGUCCUAAUUACAGGGAGAGGAAUAAUAGUUUUUAUCCAAUUGCUGCUCGUUAGAAGGCUAAGCUCCGCCCACUUGGUCUCCUAGCAACCUUCUCAGCCCAGGGGACAGGCACAGUUAAGCCUCACUUAGGCCUCUUCCACAGAUUAUCACAUUUUAACUGGGUUAUAUGGCAGUGUAGACUCAAGGCCCUUCCACACAGCUAUAUAACCCAUUUACAAUCUUAUAUUAUCUGCUUUGAACUGGAUUAUCUUGACUCCACACUGCCAUAUAAUCCACUUCAGUGUGCAUUUUAUCCAGAGUGUAGAAGGGGCCUCAUAUAAUCCAGUUCUAAGCAGAUAAUAUAACAUUAUCAAUAUACAGUAGAGUCUCACUUAUCCAACAUACACAGGCCGGCAGAACGUUGGAUAAGUGAAUAUGUUGAAUAAUAAGAAGGGAUUCAGGAAAAGCCGAUUAAACAUCAAAUUAGGUAAUGAUUAUACAAAUUAAGCACCAAACAUCAUGUUAUACAACAAAUUUGACAGAAAAAGUAGUUCAAUGCUCAGUAAUGCUCUGUUGUAAUUACUGUAUUUACAAAUUUAGCACCAAAAUAUGACAAUGAAUUUAAAACAUUGACUACAAAAACAUUGACUACUAAAAGGCAGACUGCAUUGGAUAAUCCAGAACACUGGAUAAGCGAAUGUUGGAUAAGUGAGAUUCUACUGAAAUAUGAAAUAAUUACUGUGGUAAUCCAGUCCAACCCAAUUCUGCCAUGGAGGACACAAUCCAAGCACGCCCAACAGAUGGCCACCCAGCCCCUCAAUAAUAAUAAUAAUAAUAAUAAUAAGAAGAAGAAGAAGAAGAAGAAGAAGAAGAAUAUCAUACAAUCCUAAAGUUAGCAGAUACCCCUAAGGAUCAUCCAGUUCAACUUCCUUAUAUUAUGCAGGAGGACACAAACCAAGCACUCCUGACAGAUGGCCAUCCAAUAUCUGCACAAUAAUAAUAUACAUCGAAUCAUAGCAUCAGACAGUUAGGAGACACCCCUAAAGGCCAUCUAGUCCAACCCAAUUCUGCCAUGCAGGACACAAUCCAAGCACUCCCAACAGAUGGCCACCCAGCCUCUCAAUAAUAAUAAUAAUAAUAAUAAUAAUAAUAAUAAUAAUAAUAAUAAUAAUAAAUAUCAUAAAAUCCUAAGGUUUGGAGUGACCCCUAAGGAUCAUCCAGAUCAACUUCCUUCUAUCAUGCAGGAGGACACAAUUCAAGCACUCCUGACAGAUGGCCAUCCAGUCUCUACAUAAUGAUGAUGAUGAUGAUGAUGAUGAUGAUGAUGACAAUAAUAAUAAUAGAAGCAUAGAAUCCAAGAGUUUGGAGAGACCCCUAAGGGCCAUCCAGCCCAACCCUUUCUACUAUGCAGCAGGACACAAUCCAAGCAUUCACAACACAUGGACAACAUAUAAAUACUAUACAAUACUACACAGGGACAUAGACCCCCCUCUACCCUCACCACUUUCACAGUACACAAACAACCAAAUGCAUACUAAACAUAAAGACAACCAUACAACACACAUUCAAUACCACCACUAUCUCAACAAUUUCUCACCAACACCACCAGACAACACCACCCUGAUUUGAGCGUCUGAUCCAACAAGCUUUGACUGAAAGUGAAUUGUGAUGGUAGGUUUAUCUCAUUUUGAAAAGCAAAAACAGGACAUAUUUACCAACUGACAGUUUCAAACCAUUGAUUAUGUCUCUCACUUUAAAUCCCACUAGAAUAUAAACUGUGAUACAUGCUAUUAGAUAUAUUCCUUGCCUUCAAUGUAUUUAAAUAAUAUUUUAUUUAGUGAUUUAAUAUUUAAUACUAUUAAUAAUUGAUCUGGUUACAACUGAAUUUUCAAUAACUAAGUGAUUGUAAAAUGCUGUGUGCUCAAAUAACUGAAGUACUCUGUGAACCACAUUGGUAUAUGCAUCUAUACAAAUGAAAACAAUUACAGUAGAGUCUCACUUAUCCAACAUAAACGGGCCGGCAGAACGUUAGAUAAGCAAAAAUGUUAGAUAAUAAGGACGGAUUAAAGAAAAGCGUAUUAAACAUCUAAUUAUGUUAUUAUUUUACAAAUUAAGCACCAAAACAUUAGGUUUUACAACAAAUCGACAGAAAAAGCAGUUCAAUACAUAGUAACGUUAUGUAGUAAUUACUGUAUUUACGAAUUUAGCACCAAAACAUCGCAAUGUAUUGAAAAUAUUGACUACAAAAACAUUGGCUAUUAACAACAUGGGCUAUUACAGUAACAACAUUGUCAGAAGUUAAAUCCGUAAAAAGUUCAGUCCUUGCUGCCUAGAGAAACAGCUUUGGAUCCGGGCGGGUGGCAAACUGCGUUGGAUAAUCCAGAACAUUGGAUAAGCAAAGGUUGGAUAAGCGAGACUCUACUGUACAUGCUCAGUACUUGGGUGAGAGACCACAAAUCAAUACCAAAUGUAGACUACAUUUCAGAAGAAGAAACUGGAAAAAACAACCUGAAUAUUCCUUGCCUAUGAAUACUGAAAUUCAUGGAGCCAUCAUAGGUUAACAGCCACAUGACUUGAAGCCGCAUCAAUAUGCACAUAGAUUCUUUGAUGCGUAUUUUGUUUUUCUUUCUGACAUUGGUUAGCACAAACAUGUCUCUUUGUUAAGUGGAGAGACCUUAUUCAGUAGAGAUGGGAAUAGGCAAUGUGCUGGAACGGCAUAAGUUCCAGCUUCCAUUUGUUUUGCUUCCUUGCCCAUAGUUUUAGAACAGUUACUUUUAUAUGUUUAUAAAGGUGGAGUUUGUUUUGUGUAAAGAAAAUGGAUUCCCUUGAAUCAACAAAGUGUAGGUAGCCUGUUAAAUGUGAUUUCUGAGCAACAAUUAUAACACCACAACUUCAUCACCUGGCCUCUUUAAGUUCACUAUAUUAAAUAGUUGAGUCAGCCUUACAACUUUGUGCUCGCCAUGGAAUCAAACUGAGGAGAACUUGAUGUGAGUAUUUUUGUCUUUAUACUUGAUAUUUAUAAUUUGUAUAUUGAAGGUAUAGGGUUCUGUUUGCUAUCAAGAAACUACUAUUAAGAAACUAUUUUUCAGCCACUGCUGUUCAUUCCCUUUAGGUCGCUUUAUUAUAACUUGAAUUUGUGAAUAUUAGAAACUUUCCACCUAAAAAAGACUUGGUCAUGGUCGAAACCGGUUGUGGAAGUUCUCUACAAAGGAAACAUAGAUGAAGAUUUGUUUAUAGAGACUUUUGUUGAAAUUUCCUUUAUAAGAAAGAAGAAAGAAAUCAGCAUUGUGAACUUUAAAGAGGAAAUCUGUUUAAAGGCUGUGGCGCAGCUUGUUAGUAGCCAGCUGCAAUAAAUCACUACUGACCAAGAGGUCAUGAGUUCGAAGCCAGCCCGGGUUGGAGUAAGCUCCCGACCAUUAAUGGUCUAGCUGUGCAGCUGAAAGACAAUUGCAUCUAUGAGGUAGAAAUUUAGGUACCACUUAUGUGGGGAGGCUAAUUUAACUAAUUUACGACACCAUGAAAUCUCCAGCAGCAUGCGGAAGAUAAGGAAGUACUCCAUCAAGGACUCAGUGUCACAGUGGAUGAUGAAGCAGCAGUUCCCCCUGUGGCCGGAAUUGAGCAUACCCUCAUGAAGCCAGAAGCUGGAAUGUUAAACUGCCUCUUUGUCUAUAUGUGGUUGUCUAUAUAUGUUGUUUGCUAAUGGCAUUGAAUAUUUGCCAUGUAUAUGUGCAUUGUAAUCUGCCCUGAGUCCCCUUUGGGGUGAGAAGGGUGGAAUAUAAAUACAGUAGAGUCUCGUUUAUCCAACAUAAAUGGGCCGGCAGAAUGUUGGAUAAGCGAAAAUGUUGGAUAAUAAGGAGGGAUUAAGGAAAAGCCUAUAAAACAUGAAAUUACGUUAUGAUUUUACAAAUUAUGCACCAAAACCUCAUGCUUUACAACAAAUUGACAGAAAAAGCAGUUCAAUACACAGCAACGUUAUGUAGUAAUUACUGUAUUUACGAAUUUAGCACCAAAACAUUGCAAUGCAUUGAAACACUGAUUACAAAAACAUUAAAUACUAAAAGGCAGACUGAAUUGGAUAAUACAGAAUGUUGGAUAAGUGAAGGUUGGAUAUGCGAGACUCUACUGUACUGUAAAUAAAUAAAAUAAAGUAACUCUUGUUAAAAAUCCCUUUCUACAAGAAAGAAACGGUAAUCAGUAUUGUGAAUGUAACAAACGUAUGUUUCAUUGUAUACUAAUUUUUGUUGUACCUUUUACAAGUUGUUGAAAAAAGUAUGUUUGUGAUUACAUCAAUAUUUUAAUAGUGGAUUAUUGCUUUGGAGUUUGUUUUGUGUCAGCCAUUUUAUUUGCCCUUUUGUGUGAGUUGGUUGGCCACGCCCCCUUCUGCCUGAGGUAAAAAGAGCUAUUAUAGAUCAUAGACCACCAGGGAAUUCUAGAGGCAGGACGUGUCUUCAGCUGGUCCCAGAGUUCUAGGCUUUGACAAGUCAAUACUUGACAGCCAGCUUGCCUAAGCAGCACUUUAACCAGCUACAUACGACCUGUUAUCUUAACCAGUUUCUCUCUACCAGUUACUACUUUUAACCAGUACUUUUACAACUACUUUACUGUCCAGUUUACCAUAACCAGUUACUUAUAACAAGUUUAACUUUUACAACAGCUACUUAACAAUCAGUUACCUACUACCAGUUUACUUCUAACCAAUACUUUCAAACCAGUACCUUUCAUCAAUCAACAGUUAAACAGCAACUGGUUAUCGCCUUUGGGUAUAGGGUGUCUCAGAGGCCCCUACACCAGAAACUGAGAACAUGGAAAAUGGUCAUCUAUUCUCAGCAAAACAGUCAUCUAUUCUCCUCAGAAACAUCCACAUCUGGAAGCUUCAGGAUCAUUAAGUUAUCUUUCAAGUUUUAAAUAUGAACUUUGUUGUGGGGAAACUAAGUUAGUGCCUGGGUGGACUUAAACCCAAGUCCUGUUAAUCAUCAUUUCCCUAAGAGCAACAGCGUGGACAUUAAUUCUGUGAGAUUCCUUGUUCUUAAAAAUGGCAUUCAGCAUCCCCCAAACUGACAAAGUUUAGACAUGUUUACACCAAAGUUACCUUAACAGCAGCUUGGGUGCAACAGUAUAGGUAAAUAUAGGAUGCAGGGGAUUAGGAAGCACCCCCCCCCCCCCCAAAAGUUGGUCAAGGUCAUCAAUGAAGGUUUCAUGAAACAUUGUAUAAGCUGAAGUCCUUCCCUGUUCCUACUCCUUCCUACAACUGUCUCAGCUGGAAGCUGAGCUCUACCACCAAAUUGACUACUGUUUCUCAUUCGGAAAGUGUAAGAAAAUCUGAACAUUUAAAAAAAAACCCUGGACUGAAUUUUAGCUCAGAAAAAAGAGAACAUGUCUGGUAAAAGGCAGAUGUAUGAUAACACUGUGUUGGGGGCUGGGUUUAUUUCUCAUUUUGUAGAGCUUUUAUGCCCUGUUCUUCAGAGAAAAAGACUCCCAGCGCAGCUUUAAAAUUGUUAAUUUGACUAGUCCAUGCCUUCAGGCUUUGAUCAAGUACACCUUCCAGUCCCCUUGGUCUGCCAGUCUUGCUAGUUCAGUGGUUCUCAACCUGUGGGUCUCCAAGUGUUUUGGCCUAUAACUCCCUGAAAUCCCAGACAUUUUACCAGCUGUUAGGAUUUCUGGGAGUUGAAGGCCAAAACAUCUAGGGAUCCACAGGUUGAGAACCACUGCACUAGUCCCUCUUUACUUUUGGACUAUCUCACAUUACAUAGUACUGUGAUACCACUUUAACUGUCAAAGCUGUAUCCGAAGGAAACAUAGGAUUUGUAGUUUUGUGAGAUAUUCAGAAUCCUCUUCCAGUGAGGUCUAACUACAAAUCUGAAGGUUCCAUAGCAUAUAGCCAGAGCCAGUAAAGUAAAGCCAUAAUGCUAUAAUUGUGUAGUGUGGCGGAGACAUGAGUUGAUGUUAGUGUGCAAGUUUGUACUCAGGAUAGGUGUCUCAACAGCACAAUUAAACAUUUGUUUAGACAGAUGUUUAGGCCUAACUUGUGUUUACAGUUCAGGUUACUUUAUUAGUACAGCUAUUUUCUUGGAAUUCCUGUACUGAGAGUAAAUAAAAGUAAUACCAAAACAUAAUCAUUAUCAUCUUCAUCUUCUUAUCUUAUCUAUUUUAAUCUCAUCUUUCUCCCCAUGGGGACUAAAGGUGGCUAACAAAUUGUUGGGUUAUCUAAGCAAUCAUGCAUACAUUUUCAAUGUGGGAUGGUUUAUGUAGUUAGUUUUAUUUGUUGCUUAGUAACCUGAAUCCAGAGUUGAUGGCACCAUUUUAGGGUUUUCCAUGUGAUGUGGGAAAUGGGAGUAUACUUCCUGGAGACUUACAGGAAGUGACCUAUGCCUUUAGAAUUUGGGGCAUAAAAGGAGAGACUUUAUUCUGUUCUUCCUCUCGUUGGCUCUUCAUGCUCUUCCUGUUUCUUGAUCCUGCCAUGCCAUGCUGAUGUUACUAUUUGUUAAGAGAUAUGUAGUAUUCUGAACUGUAUUCUUUUGGAACUAAGAUGUUUUUACCUGUAUGACCAUCAUCAUACAAGAUUGUGAGUAAACAUAUUUUUACUAUUUUA